GCCGCCGUAGCUGAGCCUGGUUACAGCGACCGCCUCGUAAGCGGUAGAUCGUGGGUUCAAAUCCCACCGGCGGCU
rnacentral:tRNA from 1 species